rnacentral:tRNA from 1 species
AGGAAAUUAGAUUUAAUGGUAGAACGCCGGCGUCCUUGGAUACCGGUAUGUGUAGGUUCGAAUCCUACAUUUCCUCCA